UCUAUAUGAUGAUUUAAAUAUUCACCAUCUUUCGACUGAUGACCAUGAUGGUAAUUUUUUCUACUGAAAAGA